rnacentral:tRNA from 2 species
GGGCUCGUAGCUCAGCUUGGUGGAAACUCUGUAGCUUAAGAAAGUUAUAAAGUUGCCAAAAGCAAUAGACUCUUAAUCUAUGGGUCGUGGGUUCAAAUCCCACCGAGCCCG